rnacentral:rRNA from 1 species
CCUACGGGGGGCUGCAGUCGAGAAUCUUCCGCAAUGGGCGCAAGCCUGACGGAGCGAUGCCGCGUGAAGGAUGAAGGUCUUCGGAUUGUAAACUUCUGUCACUGGGGACGAAUAAAUGACGGUACCCGGAGAGGAAGUCACGGCUAACUACGUGCCAGCAGCCGCGGUAAUACGUAGGUGACUAGCGUUGUUCGGAUUUAUUGGGCGUAAAGGGUCCGCAGGGGGCCGGCUAAGUCUGAUGUGAAAUACCAAGGCUCAACCUUGGAACUGCAUUGGAAACUGGUUGGCUAGAGCAUCGGAGAGGAGAUUGGAAUUCCUGGUGUAGCGGUGGAAUGCGUAGAUAUCAGGAGGAACACCAAAGGCGAAGGCAGAUCUCUGGACGAUUGCUGACCCUCAGGGACGAAAGCGUGGGGAUCAAACAGGCUUAGAUACCCUAGUAGUC